AGCCAACAAACAGGGAGCUUGCUCCCAACAUGCUGUGGGGAAAGUCCCCGUGCUUUUGGGCAGAGAGUGUCAUUGGGAGACCAAAGGCUAGCGCCUGAAGCAUGCAGUGAAGCUUUGCGUGGAGCUGUUUGCUUGGGAGCUGGCCACUUGCAGCAGCACAGUUAUGCCGUGAGCACUCGCCACGGGUGCCAACUGAACGGGGCUCAUUCUC
rnacentral:RNase_MRP_RNA from 1 species